rnacentral:rRNA from 1 species
UGGGGAAUUUUGGACCAUGGGGGAAACCCUGAUCCAGCCAUCCCGCGUGUGCGAUGAAGGCCUUCGGGUUGUAAAGCACUUUUGGCAGGAAAGAAACGUCAUGGGUUAAUACCCCGUGAAACUGACGGUACCUGCAGAAUAAGCACCGGCUAACUACGUGCCAGCAGCCGCGGUAAUACGUAGGGUGCAAGCGUUAAACGGAAUUACUGGGCGUAAAGCGUGCGCAGGCGGUUCGGAAAGAAAGAUGUGAAAUCCCAGAGCUCAACUUUGGAACUGCAUUUUUAACUACCGGGCUAGAGUGUGUCAGAGGGAGGUGAAAUUCCGCGUGUAGCAGUGAAAUGCGUAGAUAUGCGGAGGAACACCGAUGGCGAAGGCAGCCUCCUGGGAUAACACUGACGCUCAUGAACGAAAGCGUGGGGAGCAAACAGG